rnacentral:rRNA from 1 species
GGGACACGUGGUAUCCUGUCUGAAUAUGGGGGGACCAUCCUCCAAGGCUAAAUACUCCUGACUGACCGAUAGUGAACCAGUACCGUGAGGGAAAGGCGAAAAGAACCCCGGCGAGGGGAGUGAAAAAGAACCUGAAACCGUGUACGUACAAGCAGUGGGAGCACGCUUAGGCGUGUGACUGCGUACCUUUUGUAUAAUGGGUCAGCGACUUAUAUUCUGUAGCAAGGUUAACCGAAUAGGGGAGCCGAAGGGAAACCGAGUCUUAACUGGGCGUUAAGUUGCAGGGUAUAGACCCGAAACCCGGUGAUCUAGCCAUGGGCAGGUUGAAGGUUGGGUAACACUAACUGGAGGACCGAACCGACUAAUGUUGAAAAAUUAGCGGAUGACUUGUGGCUGGGGGUGAAAGGCCAAUCAAACCGGGAGAUAGCUGGUUCUCCCCGAAAGCUAUUUAGGUAGCGCCUCGUGAAUUCAUCUCCGGGGGUAGAGCACUGUUUCGGCAAGGGGGUCAUCCCGACUUACCAACCCGAUGCAAACUGCGAAUACCGGAGAAUGUUAUCACGGGAGACACACGGCGGGUGCUAACGUCCGUCGUGAAGAGGGAAACAACCCAGACCGCCAGCUAAGGUCCCAAAGUCAUGGUUAAGUGGGAAACGAUGUGGGAAGGCCCAGACAGCCAGGAUGUUGGCUUAGAAGCAGCCAUCAUUUAAAGAAAGCGUAAUAGCUCACUGGUCGAGUCGGCCUGCGCGGAAGAUGUAACGGGGCUAAACCAUGCACCGAAGCUGCGGCAGCGACGCUGAUGCGUUGUUGGGUAGGGGAGCGUUCUGUAAGCCUGCGAAGGUGUGCUGUGAGGCAUGCUGGAGGUAUCAGAAGUGCGAAUGCUGACAUAAGUAACGAUAAAGCGGGUGAAAAGCCCGCUCGCCGGAAGACCAAGGGUUCCUCUCCAACGUUAAUCGGGGCAGGGUGAGUCGACCCCUAAGGCGAGGCCGAAAGGCGUAGUCGAUGGGAAACAGGUUAAUAUUCCUGUACUUGGUGUUACUGCGAAGGGGGGACG